rnacentral:rRNA from 1 species
CCCAGACUCCUACGGGAGGCAGCAGUGGGGAAUAUUGCACAAUGGGGGAAACCCUGAUGCAGCGACGCCGCGUGGGUGAAGGAGCGUUUCGGCGCGUAAAGCCCUAUCGGCAGGGAAGAAGGAGGACGGUACCUGACUAAGAAGCCCCGGCUAACUACGUGCCAGCAGCCGCGGUAAUACGUAGGGGGCAAGCGUUAUCCGGAUUUACUGGGUGUAAAGGGGGCGCAGACGGCAGCGCAAGCCCGGAGUGAAAGCCCGGGGCCCAACCCCGGGACUGCUCUUGGAACUGCGCGGCUGGAGUGCAGGAGGGGCAGGCGGAAUUCCUGGUGUAGCGGUGAAAUGCGUAGAUAUCAGGAGGAACACCAGUGGCGAAGGCGGCUUACUGGACGGCAACUGACGCUGAGGCUCGAAAGCGUGGGGAGCAAACAGGAUUAGAUACCCGGGUAGA